rnacentral:rRNA from 1 species
UCGAGGGGCAUCAGGAAGAAGCUUGCUUUCUUUGCUGGCGACCGGCGCACGGGUGAGUAACACGUAUCCAACCUGCCCUUUACUCGGGGAUAGCCUUUCGAAAGAAAGAUUAAUACCCGAUAGCAUAAUGAUUCCGCAUGGUUUCAUUAUUAAAGGAUUCCGGUAAAGGAUGGGGAUGCGUUCCAUUAGGUUGUUGGUGAGGUAACGGCUCACCAAGCCUUCGAUGGAUAGGGGUUCUGAGAGGAAGGUCCCCCACAUUGGAACUGAGACACGGUCCAAACUCCUACGGGAGGCAGCAGUGAGGAAUAUUGGUCAAUGGGCGCUAGCCUGAACCAGCCAAGUAGCGUGAAGGAUGAAGGCUCUAUGGGUCGUAAACUUCUUUUAUAUAAGAAUAAAGUGCAGUAUGUAUACUGUUUUGUAUGUAUUAUAUGAAUAAGGAUCGGCUAACUCCGUGCCAGCAGCCGCGGUAAUACGGAGGAUCCGAGCGUUAUCCGGAUUUAUUGGGUUUAAAGGGAGCGUAGGUGGACUGGUAAGUCAGUUGUGAAAGUUUGCGGCCCAACCGUAAAAUUGCAGUUGAUACUGUCAGUCUUG